rnacentral:rRNA from 1 species
GACGAACGCUGGCGGCGUGCUUAACACAUGCAAGUCGAACGGUAAGGCCCUUCGGGGUACACGAGUGGCGAACGGGUGAGUAACACGUGGGUGAUCUGCCCUGCACUUCGGGAUAAGCCUGGGAAACUGGGUCUAAUACCGGAUAGGACCACUGCCUGCAUGGGUGGUGGUGGAAAGCUUUUGCGGUGUGGGAUGGGCCCGCGGCCUAUCAGCUUGUUGGUGGGGUGAUGGCCUACCAAGGCGACGACGGGUAGCCGGCCUGAGAGGGUGACCGGCCAAACUGGGACUGAGAUACGGCCCAGACGCCUACGGGAGGCAGCAGUGGGGAAUAUUGCACAAUGGGCGCAAGCCUGAUGCAGCGACGCCGCGUGAGGGAUGACGGCCUUCGGGUUGUAAACCUCUUUCAGCACCGACGAGGCGCAAGUGACGGUAGGUGCAGAAGAAGGACCGGCCAACUACGUGCCAGCCGCCGCCGCGG